rnacentral:rRNA from 1 species
AGAAUCAACGCUGGCGGCGUGCCUAACACAUGCAAGUCGAACGAGAAAGUGGAGCAAUCCAUGAGUAAAGUGGCGACCGGGUGAGUAACACGUGACUAACCUACCUUCAAGUGGGGGAUAACCUCGGGAAACCGGGGCUAAUACCGCAUAACAUCUUUGGAGUGGAAAUUCUGGAGAUCAAAGGAGCAAUUCGCUGGAAGAGGGAGUCGCGGCUGAUUAGCUAGUUGGCGGGGUAAUGGCCCACCAAGGCUUUGAUCGGUAGCCGGCCUGAGAGGGCGCACGGCCACACUGGAACUGAAACACGGUCCAGACUCCUACGGAGGCAGCAGUGGGGAAUUUUGCGCAAUGGGGGAAACCCUGACGCAGCAACGCCGCGUGGAGGAUGAAGUCCCUUGGGACGUAAACUCCUUUACGACCGGGAAGAUGAUGACGGUACCGGUGGAAGAAGCCCGGCUAACUCGUGCCAGCAGCCGC